AAGGGCACACGGGGGAUGCCUCGGCAUGUGUAGUCGAUGAAGGACGUGGUAAGCUGCGAAAAGCUUCGGGUAGGUGCAAACAACCGCUAAACCGAAGAUUUCCGAAUGGGACAACCUUAUCUGAGUAAUGUCAGAUAACUGCUACUUGAAUAUAUAGAGUAGUUAGAGGUAACGCAGGGAAGUGAAACAUCUCAGUACCUGCAGGAAGAGAAAACAAAAGUGAUUUCCUUAGUAGCGGCGAGCGAAAGGGAAACAGCCUAAACCCAAUUUAUUGGGGGUUGUGGGAUAUGAUUUGAGUUUAUCUCGUCGAGUUAGAAAAUAUUUUGUUAGAAGAAAGAAUCAGGAAAGUUUCUGCCAUAGAGGGUGAAAGCCCCGUAUUUGAAAACAAUUUAUCUCGAUGAAUCGUACUCCCGAGUAGGGCGGAACACGAGAAAUUCCGUUUGAAUCCACCAGGACCACCUGGUAAGGCUAAAUACUCACACAUGACCGAUAGUGUAACAGUACCGUGAGGGAAAGGUGAAAAGUACCCCUGAUGGGGAGUGAAAUAGAACCUGAAACCGUGUGUCUACAAGCGGUCGAAGUUCGUAAGAACAACGGCGUGCCUUUUGCAUAAUGAGCCAGCAAGUUACGCCUAUGUUGCAAGGUUAAAUCUUCAAGGAUGGAGCCGUAGGGAAACCGAGUCUGAAUAGGGCGAUUAGUAACAUGGGGUAGACGCGAAACCAAGUGAUCUUACCAUGGCCAGGUUGAAGCAACAGUAAAAUGUUGUGGAGGACCGAACCGACUUGGGUUGAAAACCGAGCGGAUGAGCUGUGGUAAGGGGUGAAAGGCCAAUCAAACUUGGUGAUAGCUCGUUCUCUUCGAAAUGCAUUUAGGUGCAGCGUCGUGAUAAUAGUGUCAUGGAGGUAGAGCACUGAUUGGGCUAGGGCCCGUAUCGGGUACCAACCCCUAUCAAACUCCGAAUGCCAUUGACAUGUUUCGCGGCAGUGAGGCAGUGGGUGAUAAGAUUCAUUGCCAAGAGGGAAACAGCCCAGACCAACAGCUAAGGCCCCUAAAUUUCUACUAAGUGAUAAAGGAUGUGAAUUACCAUAGACAGCUAGGAGGUUGGCUUAGAAGCAGCCAUCCUUUAAAGAAAGCGUAAUAGCUCACUAGUCAAGGUCGUUUGCGCCGAUAAUUUCCGGGACUCAAGUAGAAUGCCGAAGCUUUGGAUUCAAAUUUAUUUGAAUGGUAGAAGAGCGUUCCAUUAACCGUCGAAGAUUGACUCGUGAGAGCAGUUGGAGGAGAUGGAAAUGAGGAUGCUGGCAUGAGUACGCGAUAAAACACGUGAAAUUCGUGUUCACCGAAAGCCUAAGGUUUCCUGAUCAAUGUAAAUCAGAUCAGGGUUAGUCGGCCCCUAAGAUAAGGCCGAAAGGCGUAGUCGAUGGGAAUCAGGUAACUUUAAAUAUUCCUGAACCACCAACCCUUAAACCGAGACAUCCAUUGCCCAGAUUAUAUAAUCUUAUUGAUUUGAUUAUAUAAAGUAAGCGGUGGCGAGAAAAAGCUCGGCGUAUGCUAAGGUGACCGUACCGUAAACCGACACAGGUAGGCGAGGAGAGAAUCCUAAGGUGCUUGAGAGAAUACUGGUCAAGGAACUCGGCAAAUUAGCCCCGUAACUUCGGGAGAAGGGGUGCCCACCUUUGGUGGGCCGCAGUGAAAUGGGGAGAGCGACUGUUUACUAAAAACAUAGGUCUAUGCUAACACGUAAGUGGAAAUAUAUGGACUGACACCUGCCCGGUGCCGGAAGGUUAAGUGGAGGGGUUAUUCUUCGGAAGAAGCUCUUAAAUGAAGCCCCGGUAAACGGCGGCCGUAACUAUAACGGUCCUAAGGUAGCGAAAUUCCUUGUCGGGUAAGUUCCGACCUGCACGAAUGGUGUAACGACUUUCCCACUGUCUCGACCAGUAACUCAGCGAAAUUGUAAUGUCGGUGAAGAUGCCGGCUACCCGUGGAAGGACGGAAAGACCCCGUGAACCUUUACUAUAGCUUGAUAUUGAUAUUAGAUUCUACAUGUGUAGGAUAGGUGGGAGACAUUGAAGCGGGCACGCUAGUGUUCGUGGAGUCAUCCUUGAAAUACCACCCUUGUAUUGUUUGAUAUCUAACCGUGAUCCGUUAUCCGGAUUCGGGACAGUGUCUGGUGGGUAGUUUGACUGGGGCGGUCUCCUCCUAAAAAGUAACGGAGGAGCCCAAAGGUUCCCUCAGCACGGUCGGUAAUCGUGCGUAGAGUGCAAAGGCAUAAGGGAGCUUGACUGCGAGUCCGACGGGACGAGCAGGUGCGAAAGCAGGGCUUAGUGAUCCGGUGGUUCCGAGUGGAAGGGCCAUCGCUAAACGGAUAAAAGGUACUCCGGGGAUAACAGGCUUAUCUCCCCCAAGAGCUCACAUCGACGGGGAGGUUUGGCACCUCGAUGUCGGCUCGUCGCAUCCUGGGGCUGGAGAAGGUCCCAAGGGUUGGGCUGUUCGCCCAUUAAAGCGGCACGCGAGCUGGGUUUAGAACGUCGUGAGACAGUUCGGUCCCUAUCCUCCAUGGGCGUAGGAAAUUUGAAGGGCUCUGUUCUUAGUACGAGAGGACCGGAAUGGACGAACCUCUAGUGUACCUGUUGUCACAUCAGUGGCACCGCAGGGUAGCUACGUUCGGAAGGGAUAAGCGCUGAAAGCAUAUAAGCGCGAAACCCACCCUAAGAUGAGAUUUCCCUUGCCUUCGGGCACUAAAGGCUUCCAGUAGAUGACUGGGUUGAUAGGCUACAGGUGUAAGUGCAGUAAUGUAUUUAGCCGAGUAGUACUAA
rnacentral:rRNA from 1 species